rnacentral:rRNA from 1 species
AGUGAACGCUGGCGGUAGGUCUAACACAUGCAAGUCGAACGGAAGCACAGGAGAGCUUGCCCUCUGGGUGGCGAGUGGCGGACGGGUGAGGAAUACAUCGGAAUCUACUUUUUCGUGGGGGAUAACGUAGGGAACCUUACGCUAAUACCGCAUACGACCUACGGGUGAAAGCAGGGGAUCUUCGGACCUUGCGCGAUUGAAUGAGCCGAUGUCGUAUUAGCUAGUUGGCGGGGUAAAGGCCCACCAAGGCGACGAUCCGUAGCUGGUCUGAGAGGAUGAUCAGCCACACUGGAACUGAGAAACGGUCCAGAUGCCUACGUGAGGCAGCAAUGGGGGAUAUUGGACACUGUGCGCAAGCCUGAUCCAGCCAGACCGCGUGUGUGAAGAAGGUCUUCGGGUUGUAAAGCCCUUUUGUUAGGAAAGAAAUCCAGCUGGUUAAUACCCGGUUGGGAUGACUGUACCCAAAGAAUAAGCACCGGCUAACUUCGUGCCAGCCGCCGCCGUAA